CGCGUAGGCGGUUUGCACAGUCAGGCGUGAAAUUCCUGGGCUUAACCUGGGGGCUGCGCUUGAUACAUGCAGGCUUGAGUGUGGAAGAGGGUCGUGGAAUUCCCAGUGUAGAGGUGAAAUUCGUAGAUAUUGGGAAGAACACCGGUGGCGAAGGCGGCGACCUGGUCCAUUACUGACGCUGAGGCGCGAAAGCGUGGGGAGCAAACAGGAUUAGAUACCCUGGUAGUCCACGCCGUAAACGAUGUGUGCUGGAUGUUGGGUGGCAUAGCCAUUCAGUGUCGUAGCUAACGCGGUAAGCACACCGCCUGGGGAGUACGGCCGCAAGGUUGAA
rnacentral:rRNA from 1 species